GUAGUCAUGGCCAAGUGGUUAAGGAGAUGGACUAGAAAUCCACUGGGGUCUCCCUGCGCAGUUUCGAAUCCUGCCGACUACG
rnacentral:tRNA from 2 species